GUCCACGCCCUAAACUAUGUCAACUGGUUGUCGGGGAUUAACUCCCUUGGUAACGAAGCUAACGCGUGAAGUUGACCGCCUGGGGAGUACGGCCGCAAGGUUAAAACUCAAAGGAAUUGACGGGGACCCGCACAAGCGGUGGAUUAUGUGGAUUAAUUCGAUGCAACGCGAAAAACCUUACCUACCCUUGACAUGUACGGAAUUUCCCAGAGAUGGGAAAGUGCCCGAAAGGGAACCGUAACACAGGUGCUGCAUGGCUGUCGU
rnacentral:rRNA from 1 species